rnacentral:misc_RNA from 1 species
AUAGUCUCUUACUCUGCCUUCUAAUUUCAACUUAUUCUGUAUUUUUAGAGAAUUUUUUCAUUUAACUUUAGCAGUUAGUGGCAAAGAUAGGUUUAUCAUGAGUGGGAGUCUUCUUACAUGGUAACACAGUUUUAUAAGUUAUUCUGGGCUUUCAAUGUAGAGUUCCUACAUAUGGUUUGUGCAAAGUUUCAGUUGAUUUUAGCUUAUGGUAUAACAAUCCUGAGCUCCAUGCUUUGAUUUCAUUGAUAUGCAUUUUAACAAUCAAACGACCUAGUGUUGUUAAUUUGUCCUCUUUGUUGCAAUUGUGAAUAUGCACCAUAUUUUGAGUUGUAUUUAUUGAGGACAAAAUGUUUUAUCCUCAGCAUUGCAUCUAAAGGCAUAGUGCUAUUCUAGCGAUCGAUGU